UACGUAGGGCGCAAGCGUUGUCCGGAAUUAUUGGGCGUAAAGAGCUCGUAGGCGGCCUGUUGCGUCCGCUGUGAAAUCCCGGGGCUCAACCCCGGGCCUGCAGUGGAUACGGGCUGGCUAGAGGCAGGCAGGGGAGAACGGAAUUCCUGGUGUAGCGGGUGAAAUGCGCAGAUAUCAGGAGGAACACCGGUGGCGAAGGCGGGUCUCUGGGCCGAUACUGACGCUGAGGAGCGAAAGCGUGGGGAGCGAACAGG
rnacentral:rRNA from 1 species